rnacentral:rRNA from 1 species
UACGAAGGGGGCUAGCGUUGCUCGGAAUCAUUGGGCGUAAAGGGCGCGUAGGCGGUCUGGUCAGUCGGAUGUGAAAGCCCGGGGCUCAACCCCGGAACGGCAUCCGAGACGGCCAGGCUGGAGACCGGGAGAGGAGAGUGGAAUAGCCAGUGUAGAGGUGAAAUUCGUAGAUAUUGGCUGGAACACCGGUGGCGAAAGCAGCUCUCUGGCCCGGUUCUGACGCUGAGGCGCGAAAGCGUGGGGAUCAAACAGG